UUUGAUCCUGGCUCAGAACGAACGCUGGCGGCGUGGAUUAGGCAUGCAAGUCGAACGCGAAAGAGGGAGCAAUCCCUCGAGUAGAGUGGCGAACGGGUGAGUAACGCGUGAAGAACCUGCCUUCAACAGGGGGAUAACACUCCCAACGGGGUGCUAAUACCGCAUGAGACCACGGGAUCGCAUGUUCCUGAGGUCAAAGGUGGCCUCUAUUUAUAAGCUACCGGUUGAAGAUGGCUUCGCGUCCCAUUAGCUAGUUGGCGGUGUAAAAGACCACCAAGGCGACGAUGGGUAGCUGGUCUGAGAGGAUGGUCAGCCACACUGGGACUGAGAUACGGCCCAGACUCCUACGGGAGGCAGCAGUCGAGAGGCUUCGGCAAUGGGGGAAACCCUGACCGAGCGACGCCGCGUGGAGGAUGAAGGCCCUUGGGUUGUAAACUCCUUUUGCUAGGGAAGAAAUGCGAUCAGGUGAACAAUCUGGUCGUUUGACGGUACCUGGCGAAUAAGCUCCGGCUAACUCCGUGCCAGCAGCCGCGGUAACACGGGGGGAGCAAGCGUUGUUCGGAAUCACUGGGCGUAAAGGGCGUGUAGGCGGUCAAGUAAGUGGAACGUGAAAUCCCUCGGCUCACCCGAGGACCUGCGUCCCAAACUGCUUGGCUUGAGUAUGGGAGAGGAUGAGGGAAUUCCU
rnacentral:rRNA from 1 species